rnacentral:tRNA from 1 species
GCCUUCGUGGUGUAGUGGUCAGCACGCUCGGCGGCACGUAUUCGAGAGGUCCGUGGUUCGAAUCCCUGCGACGGCA